AUACUAACCAUGCAGGGUAGAUACCAUGAUCACAAAGCUGGUUUUCCCUGGUGAGGUUUUUACAUUGAACUCCAGAAGUGCUGACCCCUGAGAUUUCCCCAAAUAUGGGAAACUGGACUGCAUGAUUUGUGGUAAUGGGGGAUUGCCUUCACACUCUCCAG